UGCCAGCCGCCGCGGUAAUACUGAAGGCGCAAGCGUUAAUCGGAAUCACUGGGCGUAAAGCGCUCGUAGGUGGCCUUGUAAGUCAGAUGUGAAAGCCCACGGCUCAACCGUGGAAUUGCAUUUGAUACUGGUAUGCUAGAGUCUCGGAGAGGUUGGCGGAAUUCCAGGUGUAGGAGUGAAAUCCGUAGAUAUCUGGAGGAACACCGGUGGCGAAGGCGGCCAACUGGACGAGUACUGACGCUGAGGAGCGAAAGCGUGGGGAGCAAACAGGAUUAGAUA
rnacentral:rRNA from 1 species